UACGUAUGGUGCAAGCGUUAUCCGGAUUUACUGGGUGUAAAGGGAGCGCAGGCGGCACGGCAAGCCUGAUGUGAAAGCCCGCGGCCCAACCGCGGGACUGCAUUGGGAACUACCGGGCUGGAGUGCCGGAGAGGUAGGCGGAAUUCCUAGUGUAGCGGUGAAAUGCGUAGAUAUUAGGAGGAACACCAGUGGCGAAGGCGGCCCACUGGACGGUGACUGACGCUGAGGCUCGAAAGCGUGGGGAGCAAACAGG
rnacentral:rRNA from 1 species